CAGGAGAGCAGGCAGAACCACCCACGCCCAUCCCCCUGAGACUCAGAGCACCUUUGAAACCGCCAGGUGCGCUACUAGGUAGGCCUCAUUUGGGCCCGGAUGGAGGCGGUGCCUGAAGGGGCUGGGCCAGCAGGGUUGAACUAGAAAUGAGGGUGGGGGCUGGUCGGGGCCAGCCUUGCUGACUGUGGGAGCGUCCCGCAAGGAGGCCAGGCUAGUCCUACUGCCCCUCGGUGACCUCGGUGAGGUACAGGUACAGGUACAGGGCCAGUCCCGGGAAAGGCUGGCCCUUUCAGAGAGGAGCUUUGCCCCUCUGACCCCGCGGAUGUCAGUGCUCAGGCGCUGCGGGGCUGGAAGAGGAACCCUAGGCUACGGGGCGUGAAAGAAGGCAACUGAAACCCCACAGAUCAGACUAAUGCUUCAGGAGGCAGGAACGAAGAGGAACUUCAGCGGGGGGCUGGAUUGCAGGCACUGUCGCUGAAGGGGAAAAGGGGUCUUGGAGCCAUUUUUCAAGGCCAGGUGGUGAAUACCCGACAGUACUUGGAACAUGUGAAAGACUCCACAACAGGAAUGCAAGGUAGAGUGGUGAAGCUAUUCACCAACCAUUUCCGAGUGACCUCUCGCCCUGAACUCCUCACGUAUAAGUACAACAUUGAUUACAUGCCAGAGGUUGAAGAUGGAAAAGUUCGUACAGAUUUGCUCUGCCAGCAUAAACAUGUAAUUGGACAGUGUCCCACAUUAGAUGGGAACUCUUUAUUACUGCCUCAUAAACUACAAAAGCAGGUGUAUCUCCGUGUUAAUCUUAAUAAUAUUCACUGCGGUUGCCACGAAAUCCAUUCUUCCAAUUUCUAGAAUUUUGAAGAUGAUGGAUUUGAAGCAAGUUGGUCGCAACUAUUACAACGAGAAUGAGGCCACGGAGUUCCUCAAUCGCUGGUAAUCUGGCCUGGAUAUAGUGCUUCUAUUCUUGAGUAUGAAACCAGCAUUACCCUCUGUGCUGAUGUGAACCACAAACUGCUCCGAAUGCAAACUGCUUAUGAUCUAAUACUGCAUGUUGAUAACAAAUCCCAAAGGAAAGAUGCUAUGGAAAUUUUAAAGAAUUAGUUGGAUCAAUUGUUUCUACAUCUGUGUUCAUUAACUUUUUUAAUGUUUAUUAUUUUUUUUGAGAGAAGCAGAGAGAGUGUGGGGGAGGGGCAGAGAGAGAGACAGAGACAGAGACAGAGAGGGAGACACAGAAUCCGAAGCAGGUUC